rnacentral:lncRNA from 1 species
UUUCACAUACAAAGCUAUGUGUUUAUUCCCUUUCGCUAUAGACCUUACUAUAUACUCACGACCUUUCGACAUUUACGUUAUUACGGUAUUUCACAUUUUCAAAAAGCCACCACCUCUUGGAAGUUCAGAAAUUGCCUUUGUUGCAAGUUAAUUAAUUCUAUGUGUACUAUCAAGUAUCAAAGAGCUUAUAUCAAACUAACCACAAUGAAUGUUGUCUACAAUAUGCCAGCAUCCACAUGCAUGUUUCAUCCUACCACUAAUUGUGAGACACAGCAUAUGGAUUAAAAUUACCCACCCAAAUCUGUUAUGUGAAAGGGGAAACUUGGCCUUGGAAUAUUGAUCUCGGCCAUAUUUACCUUCACUAGUCACAUCUCAUUGUAUUCUCUUUCACAUUUCUUAGCAUUUUUUACUUUUGUAAUAUUUUGUAUAUUUAAGUAUAUCUUCAAUAAAAUUGCAUUUUGUUAAUCAUAAAAAUAUGAAAGGGUUGAAAGACACACAAGGUGACAAAAUUAUAUUACUUAUUAAUGAUAGGAUAUAAUGAAGAUCCAUUUUUACCAUUGGAUAUAGAAGUCAAUCAAGGAUUAAAAGGAUGAUAUAUAUGGUAAAAUAAAAGUAAAAAUGAGAAUAUAAAUUGUAAUGCGGUAACCUUGCAUCAAGAAGGGGUUCAACUUGUUGUUCUUGUUUAUGUCGACGAUCUAAUCAUUGUUGGUAAUGAUUCCUCAUCCAUCAAAUGGUUUAAAACCUACCUCAACAAAUGCUUCCACAUGAAAGAUCUUGGCACAUUGAAGUAUUUUCUAGGUAUUGAGGUUGCUCGCAAUCCUAUAUGUAUUUUUUCUUUGUCAUCGUAAGUACACGCUCAAUAUUAUUUAUGAAGUUUCGCCUCCUUGGUGCUAAACCUGCAGGCAUCCCAUUAGAACAAAAUCACUGUUUGUCUCUUGCUACAUGAACUCUUCUUACCAACCUUGAACGCUAUCGUCGAUUAGUUGGGCGAUUGAUUUAUCUAUGUUUUACACGCUUAGACCUUUCAUCCAGUGUUCACACGCUAUCUCAGUUCAUUUAGGAACCACGAAUUGAGCAUUGGGAAUAUGCCCUCAAAGUGGUCCGGUUUCUCAAGGGCAAUUUUGGUCAAGACAUAUUGCUUUCUCACAACUGUGAUCUCCAACUUCAUGGAUGGUGCGACUCCAACUAGGCUAGUUGUCCUGCUCCCUUACUGGUUGGCUGAUCCAAUUUGGUCAAUCCCCUAUCUCUUGGAAAACAAAGAAGCAACACACUGUUUCUCGAUCAUCGGUUGAAGCUGAGUAUCAGUCCAUAACAACUACUACAUGCGAGCUCAAAUGGUUAAAAGAGAUUCUUUCCAGUCUUGGCAUCGCUCAUACUAAACCUAUGAUUCUUCACUCUGAUAGUUAAGUGGCCUUGCAUAUCGCUAAAAAUAUGGCAUUCCAAUGGGAAAUGAACAAAUAACAUCAGCUAAGCUCCAUAUGGGAAAUGAACAAAUAACAUCAGCUAAGCUCCAUAUGGGAAAUGAACAAAUAACAUCAGCUAAGCUCCAUAUGGGAAAUGAACAAAUAACAUCAGCUAAGCUCCAUAUGGGAAAUGAACAAAUAACAUCAGCUAAGCUCCAUAUGGGAAAUGAACAAAUAACAUCAGCUAAGCUCCAUAACUAUAGUCUAGACUUUGUCAACCAAAAGGAAAUAAGACAAAAUCAUAGUCAUAGCAAUUUCGAGGUAGGGUAUUAGUUGUACCAAACCUAAAUUUGAAAGUUGAAUUCGGGUAAAACGUAAACUUGAAGUCAGUCACAAUAGUUUUUCUUGUCAAAUUUGAGUUGGGUACGGAUGAGUACUCACAAAUUCGGUUUUCAUUAUCAUCCAUAUAUGUAAAUGAGUUUAAUUUAUAAAAAAUUGAAGAGAAAAACAAUCACAAUGACACAUGCACCAUCAAGAUGAACAAAGUUUAUGGGUGGGAUAAAAAUUGUCUCUUACCUGACCCUAAAUAUUGGUUCGAUCAUUUUUUUGAAAUCAAACGUGGUCCUAGACACGGAGAUUAAACUGACCCCAAAUAUCAAUCGAAUCAACUUCACAUAAAGUUCUCCUUAAAUUACAUAUUAUUAUGGAUAUGUAAUUUGACAUAUGAAAUAAUAUUAUAUGUAGGUAUUUUGCUAAUCAUUUACAUAUAUGUAUAUAUGAUGAAAAAUGUAGAAAAUCAAUAAUACUUUUGGUUAAACAAAUGUCAUUAUUCUAAACACAAUCAAAUAGACACAUACAAACAUGACGAAUAGGUAACUUUGAGACAGGUUGGGUCAGAUCAUGGUUGUCUCUUACCUAAUCCUAAAUAUUGGUCAAGUCUAAUUUUUGAACUCAAACCUGACUAUACUUAAUAAAACUUUGAAAUGAUUGAGUCAAACUAGAUAAGCGAGUCAUGUUAGGUCAGGUCAGAUCUGGUGUCUUGCUCCUCCCUAACAUAGCCAUAUAAGGUAUACAACUUUCUCAUUGUUGAUCCAAUGUGUUAAAAGAAAAUACAAUGUAAUCCAUCAGUAUUUAUAGUUUUAAAAGGUUGGACUAGGAUUGUUUUUUUGUGUGGAUGAUCAGCUCGAUAAUGGGUUCAUGGAUCCAAUAGCACCCUACUUUGAAUACAGCUGAAGUUAGAGAAAUGAUAAUGGUUAUAUUUUUUAAUUUUGAUAGUAAUAUAUGUAAGAGUGUGUAUGCAUUUAGGUAUGUAUGAGUAACAAAAGUCAUGUUUAUUUGUAGUCAGUCGUCUCUGUUAGCUAGUUCAGGACUUACCUUGCUCAACAAGGUUUUUUGUCCAGGCCUAUUUCGUGUGCCAGGGUUUCUGGCCGAGCUUGAGUUGCAGUGUUAAACAAGACCAGGACCAAGGCCAGGAGUGGGAUAUCGUGGUGCUGGACAAGUCAGGCUUAGCAUUGUGUUUAAAUCAGUUGGCCUUUAUAGUCCAGUGGCCCAAUACUCUAAAUAGAAAGUUCGUUUAGUUUUCAGUUUGGUUUUCUUUCCCUUUUUAGUUGCUUUGUAUAUAACUAUAUAAGCUUGUUAAUUCCAAUUCGUUCAAUGACAAUUCUGUUCUCCAAAUUCUUCUUCCGCAACAUCAAGAUUCUCAACUCAAUUUUCUAAUAUGUAUUCCAAUAAUAUAUUCUUAUUUUCUAACUUUCUAUCUUAUCAACUAUGUAUAGCUUAAAUUUACAUAUAUUAUACGCUUAUUGAGUCAUUAAAAAUAUAUUUUUCUACAAAAUACUCAUACAAAUCCUUCUACACCAUAAGAAAGUGAUAUUUUAUGUGUAAACUAAUUAUUAAUAAAAAAAAUAUUAUUUUAUAAUAUAUAUUAUUUUUCUUAUGAUGUAGGAGAAUAUGUAAGAUAAUUAGAUGUAUAUUAAUUUUCUUAUUUGAAUUAAAUUUUUCAGACAUAACGAUGCAUGUGGAAACAUAUAACAAAUGUGAACAACUCGCAAGUUGAGAAGAUAAAAACAACGUUGGAUAACUAUCAUGUUAAUAAAACGACAAGAUAGGGUCAUUAUCACCCCGUGAUAUCUAUAGAUGGGAUUUGCUGUCCUAAUCAUGUCUCCAACUACGUUCCUAGUCAAUUACAAUAAAGUAAAAUUGAUAAAGUUAUGAAUAUUUAAUUUUUUUAACUGACGUGGCAUAAUAGGAUUGGUUUGGACAGAGUUUAGGACAACAUAUCUUUGUCCAAUAUCUAUCAUGUUAAUAACACGACAAUAUAGAAUCAUUAUGACCACGUGGUCCACUAUUAAUGUACCGAUGGUUUUCCUAUAACUUACUUUUUCUGGCUUAAUCAACUUUUGUUUUUUUAAUACAUAAAGUCAUAAACCACGCAGAGAACAUAUGCUUGCAACAGGCUCGUGUAUUUAAACAAAUCAAUUCCUUUAUUUUGAGGAACAAGGAACAUAUAUUUUAUUACUUUAUCAAAGCUGGAUUAUAAUAUAAUAAUCCCAUUUUCUAAACAACUUGGCCUUUAAUUAGUACUAUGGUGAGUUGGCUUUUCUUUAGAACGAUGGACAAAUAAAGAUUUUCUGUAUUAAUAAAGAGAUAAAUACAUAUAUUUUUCUUUGUUUUUAAUGACAAAAGUCUAAUUUUAUUAUAAUUAAAAUAAUAAAUAUGUCAUUAAAAGUUAUAGUUUCAUUUAUUUUUUUCAUUGAUGGAGAAGAUUUUAACUCGACCUAGAGUGUCCGGUGUUUAUUAAGGGGAGAUGAGAUGGGUUAUUUGUAGUUCAUUAUUACAAGUUGGUACAGCUAUUAUAUAUUAUGUUAGCGUUGAAACUGCUAUAAUAUUAAAAUUUAUCUACACUUAAAUUCACUCCAUGUGUUGGAUUAUCUAUAUGCUUCACUUUUCAUGAAAAAAGCUAUAUAUAUGUUUCACAUACAAAGCUAUGUGUUUAUUCCCUUUCGCUAUAGACCUUACUAUAUACUCACGACCUUUCGACAUUUACGUUAUUACGGUAUUUCACAUUUUCAAAAAGCCACCACCUCUUGGAAGUUCAGAAAUUGCCUUUGUUGCAAGUUAAUUAAUUCUAUGUGUACUAUCAAGUAUCAAAGAGCUUAUAUCAAACUAACCACAAUGAAUGUUGUCUACAAUAUGCCAGCAUCCACAUGCAUGUUUCAUCCUACCACUAAUUGUGAGACACAGCAUAUGGAUUAAAAUUACCCACCCAAAUCUGU